rnacentral:rRNA from 2 species
AUUGCCCUAGUAACGGCGAGUGAAGCGGCAACAGCUCAAAUUUGAAAUCUGGCCCUCGGGUCCGAGUUGUAAUUUGUAGAGGAUGCUUUUGGUGCGGUACCUUCCGAGUUCCCUGGAACGGGACGCCAUAGAGGGUGAGAGCCCCGUCUGGUUGGAUGCCAAUCCUCUGUAAAGCUCCUUCGACGAGUCGAGUAGUUUGGGAAUGCUGCUCUAAAUGGGAGGUAUAUGUCUUCUAAAGCUAAAUAUUGGCCAGAGACCGAUAGCGCACAAGUAGAGUGAUCGAAAGAUGAAAAGCACUUUGAAAAGAGAGUUAAAAAGCACGUGAAAUUGUUGAAAGGGAAGCGCUUAUGACCAGACUUGGGCUUGGUUGAUCAUCCGGCGUUCUCGCCGGUGCACUCUUCCGGCUCAGGCCAGCAUCAGUUUGCUUCGGGGGAUAAAGGCUUUGGGAAUGUGGCUCCCUCGGGAGUGUUAUAGCCCACUGUGUAAUACCCUGGAGCGGACUGAGGUACGCGUUCUGCAAGGAUGCUGGCGUAAUGGUCAUCAGUGACCCGUCUUGAAACACGGACCAAGGAGUCGUCUUCGUAUGCGAGUGUUCGGGUGUCAAACCCCUACGCGUAAUGAAAGUGAACGCAGGUGAGAGCUUCGGCGCAUCAUCGACCGAUCCUGAUGUUCUCGGAUGGAUUUGAGUAAGAGCAUACGGGGCCGGACCCGAAAGAAGGUGAACUAUGCCUGUGUAGGGUGAAGCCAGAGGAAACUCUGGUGGAGGCUCGCAGCGGUUCUGACGUGCAAAUCGAUCGUCAAACAUGGGCAUGGGGGCGAAAGACUAAU